UACGUAGGGUGCAAGCGUUGUCCGGAAUUAUUGGGCGUAAAGAGCUCGUGGGCGGUCUGUCGCGUCUGCUGUGAAAACUCGGGGCUUAACCCCGGGCCUGCAGUGGGUACGGGCAGACUAGAGUGCGGUAGGGGAGACUGGAAUUCCUGGUGUAGCGGUGAAAUGCGCAGAUAUCAGGAGGAACACCGGUGGCGAAGGCGGCGUUCUGGACUGCAACUGACACUGAGGAACGAAAGCCAGGGGAGCAAACGGG
rnacentral:rRNA from 1 species